UUUAGAGUUUGAUCCUGGCUCAGAUUGAACGCUGGCGGCAGGCCUAACACAUGCAAGUCGAGCGGUAGAAAGUAGCUUGCUACUUUUGAGAGCGGCGGACGGGUGAGUAACGCGUGGGAAUCUACCUGGUAGUGGGGGACAACUUGGGGAAACUCAAGCUAAUACCGCAUACGCCCUACGGGGGAAAGGAGGGGAUCUUAGGACCUUUCGCUAUCAGAUGAGCCUGCGUAGGAUUAGCUAGUUGGUAGGGUAAAGGCCUACCAAGGCGACGAUCCUUAGCUGGUCUGAGAGGAUGAUCAGCCACACUGGGACUGAGACACGGCCCAGACUCCUACGGGAGGCAGCAGUGGGGAAUAUUGGACAAUGGGGGCAACCCUGAUCCAGCCAUGCCGCGUGUGUGAAGAAGGCCUUCGGGUUGUAAAGCACUUUCAGUGGUGAGGAAGGGUGAGCAGUUAAUACCUGCUUACAUGGACGUAGCCACAGAAGAGCCCCGCA
rnacentral:rRNA from 1 species